GUGGCUUGAGACUAAAGGAGAAAACACAGAAAGGAUUAGCAUGGCCCCUGCGCAGUGAUGACAUGCAAAUUCAUGAAACAUUCCAUACUAAA
rnacentral:snRNA from 1 species